GCUUCGCGCUGGAGAACGGGCAGGACGCCCUGCUGCUGCUGCAGGGGGUGGCGAUGGCCACCGGGCGGUUCCUGCUGCCCGUGGUGCU
rnacentral:tRNA from 1 species